rnacentral:lncRNA from 1 species
GGCUUUGCACGAGGGGUGGGGCUUUGCAUGAGGCUUUGCACCAGGGCUGGGGGCGGCCACGAGCGUUGACACGAGCUCCUGAGGGGCUUUGCACAAGGGAUGAGGGGUUGCACGAGGAUUUGCACAAGGGUUGGGGGCUUUGCACGAGGCUUUGCACAAGGGUUGGGGCUUUGCACGAGGCUUUGCACCAGGGUGGGGGCGGCCACGAGCGUUGACACGAGGGCUGGAGGCUCCUGAGGGGCUUUGCACGAGGGAUGAGGGGUUGCACGAGGAUUUGCACAAGGGUUGGGGGCUUUGCACGAGGCUUUGCACAAGGGUUGGGGGCGGCCACGAGCAUUGACACGAGGGCUGGAGGCUCCUGAGAGGCUUUGCACGAGGGCUGGGGCUUUGCACAAGGCUUUGCACGAGGGCCAGGGGCUGCCACAAGCAUUUACACAAGGGUUGGGGGCUCCCGAGAGGCUUUGCACCAGGGCUGGGGGCUCCUGAGGGGCUUUGCACGAGGGCUGGGGCUUUGCACGAGGGUUUUCACGGGGGCUGGGGCUUUGCACGAGGCUUUGCACGAGGGCCAGCCAGGCGUGUCCCCGCAGUGUCGCUGCUGAAGGACCUGAAGCACGCCAACGUGGUGACGCUGCACGACAUCAUCCACACCCAGAGCUGCCUCACCCUCGUCUUCGAGUACCUGGUGGGCACCCCAAAAACCCCAGAGCACCCCAAAUCCCCCCCCGGGACCCCAAAAUCCUACCUGGGGACCCCCAAAUCCACCCCCGGGACCCCAAAAUCCUACCUGGGGACCCCCAAAUCCCCCCCAGGCACCCCAAAAUCCCC